rnacentral:rRNA from 1 species
AACGAACGCUGGCGGCGUGCCUAACACAUGCAAGUCGAACGUGAUUGGGGAGCUUGCUCCUCAUGAAAGUGGCGCACGGGUGAGUAACGCGUAGAUAAUCUACCUGAUGAUUCGGGAUAACACUUCGAAAGGGGUGCUAAUACGGGAUAAGCCCACGGAGUCUUUGGACACUGCGGGAAAAGGAGGGGACCUUCGGGCCUUCCGUCAUCAGAUGAGUCUGCGUACCAUUAGCUAGUUGGUAGGGUAAAGGCCUACCAAGGCGACGAUGGUUACGUGGUCUGAGAGGAUGAUCAGCCACACUGGAACUGAGACACGGUCCAGACUCCUACGGGAGGCAGCAGUGGGGAAUUUUGCGCAAUGGGGGAAACCCUGACGCAGCAACGCCGCGUGAGUGAUGAAGGCCCUUGGGUCGUAAAGCUCUGACAGAGGGAAAGAAAUGUGGGUGGCUAAUAUCCAUACCACUUGACGGUACCCUCAAAGGAAGCACCGGCUAACUCCGUGCCAGCAGCCGCCGUAAAAC